UCCAUCAAUUGGUUUUGCAUUAUCAAAACGAACUCUCAUAUUGGGUCUCAAUACUCUCAAGUUGCUAUUGUGUGUGUCUGUGUUUGUGUUUGUGUUUGUGUGGAGAAAUCGAAGAUGGCUGACAAAUCCCAGACUCAGAACCUCAGCCAGCAAGGUGGCGAGGCCAAGGCCCACGCUCAGAUGAGCAAGGACCAGAUGAUGGAUAAGGCAACCGAUUCUGUCAAUUCUGCCAAGCAAUCAUGUGAAGAGACUUGUCAGCAAAUGAAAUCCAAGGCGGAAGGAGCCACAGAAUCUGUCAAGAACGCAAUGGGCAUGAACAAAUGAAAAUUAUAAUCUCUCUCAUUUUGUUUAUCCUUUUUUUUUGUGCUUUAAUUGAAGAAUCGCUGAUUAUUGUUCUCGUCCUUUCAACAAUGAUGUGUGCUCCCAAAAAACAGAUGGAGCUGUAAGAUCGAACCUCAAUCAAUAAAGUUCUCUAGCAGCAACGGAUUCUUCUA